CCCUGACAGUUUUUCACCAUUCUACAGAUUAUUGUGUGCCAAAAAAACAAGCUCUUGGAAACCUGACAAUUUUAAUAACACACAUUAAAAUCUCCAGUGAACAGUUUAACGGUGGCUCGUAGUUUUGUAUUGUGUUCCAUUGAACUUAAGUGCAGUUGGCAAGUGUUUCCUCUUCAAAGGCAAGGAUGAUGCUUUUUCCUAUGAAAUUCCCCUGCUAAUCUUUUAUCAUAUGAGUCAAACAAAAUCUGCAUAUA